rnacentral:rRNA from 1 species
UAGGGAAUCUUCCGCAAUGGACGAAAGUCUGACGGAGCAACGCCGCGUGAGUGACGAAGGCCUUCGGGUCGUAAAGCUCUGUUGUUAGGGAAGAACAAGUACCGUUCGAAUAGGGCGGUACCUUGACGGUACCUAACCAGAAAGCCACGGCUAACUACGUGCCAGCAGCCGCGGUAAUACGUAGGUGGCAAGCGUUGUCCGGAAUUAUUGGGCGUAAAGCGCGCGCAGGCGGUCUUUUAAGUCUGAUGUGAAAGCCCACGGCUCAACCGUGGAGGGUCAUUGGAAACUGGGGAACUUGAGUGCAGAAGAGAAGAGUGGAAUUCCACGUGUAGCGGUGAAAUGCGUAGAGAUGUGGAGGAACACCAGUGGCGAAGGCGACUCUUUGGUCUGUAACUGACGCUGAGGCGCGAAAGCGUGGGGAGCAAACAGGAUUAGAUACCCUGGUAGUCCACGCCGUAAACGAUGAGUGCUAAGUGUUAGAGGGUUUCCGCCCUUUAGUGCUGCAGCAAACG